UACAGAGGUCCCGAGCGUUGUUCGGAUUCAUUGGGCGUAAAGGGUGCGUAGGCGGUCGGGUAAGUCGGAUGUGAAAUCUCAGGGCUCAACCCUGAAACUGCAUUCGAUACUGCCUGGCUAGGGUACUGGAGAGGAGACUGGAAUUUACGGUGUAGCAGUGAAAUGCGUAGAUAUCGUAAGGAAGACCAGUGGCGAAGGCGAGUCUCUGGACAGUUACCGACGCUGAGGCACGAAGGUCAGGGGAGCAAACGGG
rnacentral:rRNA from 1 species